AAGCGCUUGCGACCAGACUCGCGCCCCGUGGAUCAUCCAGCGUUCUCGCUGGUGCACUCUGCGGGGCUCGGGCCAGCAUCGGUUCGUCCAGGGGGAUAAAAGCUCUGGGAAUGUAGCUCUCUUCGGGGAGUGUUAUAGCCCACUGUAGAAUACUCCUGGCGCGGACCGAGGACCGCGCCUUGUGCAAGGAUGCUGGCGUAAUGGUCGUCAGCGA
rnacentral:rRNA from 1 species